GGACAGAUGGGAGCUUGCUCCCUGAUGUUAGCGGCGGACGGGUGAGUAACACGUGGGUAACCUGCCUGUAAGACUGGGAUAACUCCGGGAAACCGGGGCUAAUACCGGAUGGUUGUUUGAACCGCAUGGUUCAAACAUAAAAGGUGGCUUCGGCUACCACUUACAGAUGGACCCGCGGCGCAUUAGCUAGUUGGUGAGGUAACGGCUCACCAAGGCAACGAUGCGUAGCCGACCUGAGAGGGUGAUCGGCCACACUGGGACUGAGACACGGCCCAGACUCCUACGGGAGGCAGCAGUAGGGAAUCUUCCGCAAUGGACGAAAGUCUGACGGAGCAACGCCGCGUGAGUGAUGAAGGUUUUCGGAUCGUAAAGCUCUGUUGUUAGGGAAGAACAAGUACCGUUCGAAUAGGGCGGUACCUUGACGGUACCUAACCAGAAAGCCACGGCUAACUACGUGCCGGCAGCCGCGGUAAUACGUAGGUGGCAAGCGUUGUCCGGAAUUAUUGGGCGUAAAGGGCUCGCAGGCGGUUUCUUAAGUCUGAUGUGAAAGCCCCCGGCUCAACCGGGGAGGGUCAUUGGAAACUGGGGAACUUGAGUGCAGAAGAGGAGAGUGGAAUUCCACGUGUAGCGGUGAAAUGCGUAGAGAUGUGGAGGAACACCAGUGGCGAAGGCGACUCUCUGGUCUGUAACUGACGCUGAGGAGCGAAAGCGUGGG
rnacentral:rRNA from 1 species